rnacentral:tRNA from 1 species
GGUCCCAUGGCUCAGCCUGGUUAGAGCGUUCGACUGAUAAUCGAAAGGUCUCGAGUUCAAAUCUCGAUGGGACCA